rnacentral:rRNA from 1 species
UACGAAGGGGGCUAGCGUUGCUCGGAAUUACUGGGCGUAAAGUGUGCGCAGGUGGCUUCGCAAGUCGAGUGUGAAAUCCCCGGGCUUAACCUGGGAAUUGCGCUCGAAACUACGGAGCUGGAGUGUGGCAGAGGAAGGUGGAAUUCCACGUGUAGCGGUGAAAUGCGUAGAGAUGUGGAGGAACACCAAUGGCGAAGGCAGCCUUCUGGGCCAACACUGACACUCAUGCACGAAAGCGUGGGGAGCAAACAGG